GCUGUGAUGGCUCAGUGGACUGAGCACCGUCCCAUAGACCAAGAGAUCCUGGGUUUGAUUCCCGGUCAGGGCA
rnacentral:tRNA from 1 species